CUGCUGCCUUCCGUAGGAGUUUGGGCCGUGUCUCAGUCCCAAUGUGGCCGUCCACCCUCUCAGGCCG
rnacentral:rRNA from 1 species